CUGAGCCACUGCUCCUGCACCAGGGUGAGGCCUCUGAAAGAAGAAAUGGAGAAGCCAUGGUUCUCUGAAGAGAGGGCCUGUAUGGAGCGUGCCUGGAAUGAGAGGAGCGGAGGGACAGCUCCUGCGCUCUCCCCAGCGGGGCCUGGCAAGCAGGCUGUGUCUGGCAUCCUUGGAUCUCCAGGGCCUGGCACAAUGACUGACAUACAGAUGUUGUCACGUCUGGAGGGGAGACCUGGAAUUACUGAAACCAUCUUGCCAUCAGCCUGAGAUGGAGCAGAUGCAUGAGGAUGGCAGAGCAGAAAGAUGGUUGUCACAGGUCUUAUCUUAGGGAAGCACUAGAAGAAGCGAGGCUGCAAGAUUCUGGGCCCAUGUCAGCAGCGGGGAUCCCUGUGCAUGCAUCAGGUAAGAGAUGUUUAUGUCAUAGAACCAAAGAAUUUGAGGCCUGUAGGAGAAUUACAGAUAACCUAGACUCAGAAACAAUCUAAUCCUAUUUCAGAGGCAGGAAUCAGGCCCCGAGAGGUAAGCAGCUUGCCCAAAGUCACAAACUGAGCUAUUGUCAGUGCUAUGUAAUGUGACUUCUAAUAGGUCUUUUCAAAGGUAAUCCAUGUUGAAGCAUCUACAUUUAGAUGAUUUUUAUAUUUUAACGGUGUCAUCUUGUUCAGUCGCACACUUAAUUCUAGCAACUGCCAUGUCGGAACUUUUCCGAAAUUCCUUUAUUGAAGGAGA